GGACCAACAUCUCUGAAAUCAUCGAUGCUGUUCAGCGCAGAUAUGUGCUUGAACACAAAGGGAUUAGAAUUCGCAAACUGGUUGCGGAUCCUGUCGUUCAUGGAUAAAAUGUAGGUCUGGUAAACAGCCAUACACUUUUUGGCGAGCGGUGACGCAUAGUAGAUAGGGAUGUUGUGUAGAUCAGGGUGGUUGGCCCAGUACUCAUCUAGAAUCAAGAGGAGUUCCUGCGCACGGCCUAGGGCAAAAGCUGGGAUCAGGACACGACCGCCCUGGGCAACUGUCGAAUGGAUUACAUCGGUGAAGCGUUUCUCCCUGAUGUGACGAGACUGAUGAAGCUGGACGCCGGAAGUGGAUUCAAUGAUGCAUAUGUCAGGGGAGAAUUGAGGAAGCUCAGCUGCUCUUAGAUGUCGGUCUUCCUCACGUCUUGUUCUCUCUCUGUUCUCAUAGGUGUGGUCAAUUUUUUAUUUGAUUUUGGGUAUUUCCAAAUAACAGGUACAAUGGUGGGAUUUGUGUAACGAUAGUUUUGACUGAAAAUAACAAAAAAAAUAGUUUCAAAUCCAUUUCAUAAAGUUUUUCUUUUAAAAUUGUUUAUCAUUGAAUAACAGUAGAUUUGAUUUACUUUUAGUAAAUUGUUAAUUGAAUAACAGUGGAUUACAAGUGAUUUUAAGCUACUUUAGAUAAAUAUCAUAUUCAAUAACACAGGAUUUGAAGAAAAAAAUAGAAAUCAUUAGUUGAAUAACAGGAGAUUUUAAAGAAAUACCAAAACACUUAAAAAUCCUCAAUUCAAUACACCCCCCUUAGAAAUGAAAAUUGUAAGACUGAUUGACAAAAUCAGACUGACUAUUAGUUUAUUUAGUUUAUAGGCUUUUGAAUAGUUUGAUACUGCAUGUCGCAGUUAUAACUAAUGAAAAAUAUUUUAAGCAAUAAAAAUUGUAAGGAUAAUUAAAAAAAAUUGAUUGACAAUUAAUUUUUUAAUGAUUGCUUAGUUUGUUAUGUUGAAAAGAUGUAUUUGAGCUUGUUACCAAUUAUUCAUUGAUGAAUGAUUUUAAGAUCUGGAUUCUUAUAGAAAAUAUUACAUAAAGUAAUUUUCUGUUGAUUUUGUUCAAACAACAACUUUAUGUAAUAUUUUCCAUAAGAAUAAGAUAAUAUUUUUUUUAGAAAGUCCUAUGUAAAUAUAUGGUCCUAUUAAAAUUAUAAAUUAAUAAUUUAUCUAUAUAUAUGUUUUAUGUAAGUACAAAUUAAACAUUAUAUUGUUGGUUUUUUAUUCACAAUGAAUUAUCUCUAACUUUCUUAAAAUUUCAAUAUAUUUUAAUGAUAUUUAGUGAAACUAUAUCUAAAAUCACAUUUGAAUUCUAUGAAACAUAAAAAUAUGCACAACAAAAUAUAGUAAAUCAAUAUGGAAGUCUAAUUUCUAAAAUUAAUUAAUGUAUAUACAAUAAAAUCAACUAUUUUGAAUUCUAUAAAUAAAAAUAGAAAAAAAACUAAAAAAGAAGUUUUUAUAAAUUAAUAACUUUAUAAAUUAAUAAAAUAUUAUAGUCCCAACAUUUUUAAUUUAUAAAGUUUUUACUGUAUAGAUAUUUCUUUGUUUUUUGUAAUCACAUUAUUUUGAUAAAAAUAUUUUUAUAAAGUAUACAAACAAAAAAAGUUAAAUUUGCAUACAUAUCUUAAGUAUAGGAAAUAUAUUUCUUUUUCAAAUGUUGAAGUGUGUUGAUGAGUUUCGACUAUAAGAGGGUCAUACAAAAAUCUUAGUAAUAAUAUUUUUAGAUAAAAAAAAGUCCAAAACAGAAUUUAGGUUAUUGAAUUAAAAUUUAGAAGAUUGUGUUCUAUUUUAUAUACUUUCAAAACAACAUAAUCAUGUACUUUUAAAUCAUGACCAUUUUGGACAUAGUCAAAUGAACUUAUAAAAUUUUAAGGUUAUAGACCAUAGUUUAGAGCCUCAAAAAUUUAAUAAAAGUAAUUUACAUAAACGUACAUUCUGAAAUUAUAACUCUUAAAAUUAAAUUCUUUGUAAAUUAAUUAUAGCCCGUCCAUGAUUUACAGUGGAUCAAAUCACAGAAACCCAUCAGUUCUACUAUAUAUUUGUCAUCCAGAAUCUUUUCUUUUGCGGUAUGGAAAUUAGAUAUUAUUGUAUAGCUAAAUAUGAGAAUCCAAAUAACCUUUUAUAACAAAGAAAAACUAAAGUGAAAAUCAAAAUCAUAUAAAAUUGAAACUAAAUGUUGAUGAGUAAGAGCACCGUCGCAAUAACAUCCAUUGGACUAAUAAUCAUCAUCACAGUAAACUUACAAAGCAUCAAAGUUUCACAAAACACAUUCUUAAUAACAUACAUAGACUUGACUAUCAGAACUAGCGGAACAGGCAACUGAUGAUAAAACUCUAUGAUUGUUAAAUACCUCAACAGCUACUUCAUUCAGCUGAGAGAGGGAUUGGUUUCACAGCGCUUUGAAUCCGAUGAAAAGCUACUCUCACUCUUUCUUUUAGACCUUCAUGCUCACCCUCUACAUCUCCACUCUCUUUAUCAAGAUGAGCGACAUUGCCAUCGACACUAAUCACCAGCUUCCCAUUCUCUCCAAGUUUCACAUCCCCGAAGAGCGACACAAGAAGAGCAUAUAUCACUUUUUCCACUUUUUUCCCAUUCUCUUCUUCGGAUUUCACAGCAACUUCUUCCUCCGCAACGAUCUUGGGGACUUCCCGGCUGAUGUUGAGAACCAGAGCCACAAUGGAGUCUGAAACCAUGUCACUUAUUGGAUCAGAUGACCACUGAAGCGAGAUGUGCUUCUCUGACUCUUGCUUCACGGUUACUCUUUCGUGUACUUUCAGUGCUGGAAGACCGGUUUCCUCGUCCGUUGAAGAUUCAACGCUCUCGAAAAUCUUCCCGAGGCGAUGUGUUAUCACACCGAAAGCUCCAGAGAAAGGGAUAGUUAUCCGCUGAGUAACAGUUGCUGUCGAUAGCUGUGAGAAAACAUGGAGAUCAUCAGGUGCCAUUAUCUGAUAAGCGAAACCUUUCUUCACCAGAAUCCCACUCACUGAAUCUCCAACAUCAGGUGUCUUCUCAGCCAAUCUCCCAAUGGUUUUCGCCAUUUUCUCAGAGUUGAAGUACAUUUCAACCGACUCACAGUUCUUCGGAUUCAUGAUCCUCGUGUUUCCAUCAGGAAACUCCGUGAAGAGUUUCUGUUUGAGCCUCAUCAUCUCGUUAGCUUCACCGUGGACAAGGAUGAUGUUUGGUGGCAUGAGCUCUUUCAAGAAAGUGCUCGUCUGCGCAUAGUCUGCGUGAGCAGAGAAGGAGAUGUAGUGCACUUGCAUGUUGAGAGGAGCAGUAAGACCGUUCAUAAGAGUCACCUCCUUGGGCUCAUUGAUGAUCGUUUUCGCCAGCGUACCUUCCACCAUAUAACCUGGUAUGAUACAUGCGUUUCUCUUAUCCGAACACCAGAUGUCAAAGAGCUGCCUCGAGAAACCGCUUUGAAGACCACCAGGACUAGCCAUAACCACAGACGGACCAACAUCUCUGAAAUCAUCGAUGCUGUUCAGCGCAGAUAUGUGCUUGAACACAAAGGGAUUAGAAUUCGCAAACUGGUUGCGGAUCCUGUCGUUCAUGGAUAAAAUGUAGGUCUGGUAAACGGCCAUACACUUCUUGGCGAGCGGUGAAGCAUAGUAGAUAGGGAUGUUGUGUAGAUCAGGGUGGUUGGCCCAGUACUCAUCUAGAAUCAAGAGGAGUUCCUGCGCACGGCCUAGGGCAAAAGCUGGGAUCAGGACACGACCGCCCUGGGCAACUGUCGAAUGGAUUACAUCGGUGAAGCGUUUCUCCCUGAUGUGACGAGACUGAUGAAGCUGGACGCCGGAAGUGGAUUCAAUGAUGCAUAUGUCAGGGGAGAAUUGAGGAAGCUCAGCUGCUCUUAGAUGUCG
rnacentral:lncRNA from 1 species